CCCACUCAUCUAAUGAUUCCAGUAAGAUAUGUUUGAUAUUCUUGGUUGUUACAUUCAAAAGUUCACCCAGGAAUCAAACAUAUUAUUACUGUGAUUGUUGAAACUCUACU
rnacentral:pre_miRNA from 1 species